UACGUAGGGUGCGAGCGUUAAUCGGAAUUACUGGGCGUAAAGCGUGCGCAGGCGGUUCGUUGGGGCGGCGGGGAAAGCCCCGGGCUCAACCUGGGAAUGGCCGUUGAAACUGGCGAACUGGAGUGUGGCAGAGGGGGGUGGAAUUCCGCGUGUAGCAGUGAAAUGCGUAGAGAUGCGGAGGAACACCGAUGGCGAAGGCAGCCCCCUGGGCUAACACUGACGCUCAGGCACGAAAGCGUGGGGAGCAAACAGG
rnacentral:rRNA from 1 species